rnacentral:rRNA from 1 species
GAGCCUGAAUCAGUGUGUGUGUUAGUGGAAGCGUCUGGAAAGGCGCGCGAUACAGGGUGACAGCCCCGUACACAAAAAUGCACAUGCUGUGAGCUCGAUGAGUAGGGCGGGACACGUGGUAUCCUGUCUGAAUAUGGGGGGACCAUCCUCCAAGGCUAAAUACUCCUGACUGACCGAUAGUGAACCAGUACCGUGAGGGAAAGGCGAAAAGAACCCCGGCGAGGGGAGUGAAAAAGAACCUGAAACCGUGUACGUACAAGCAGUGGGAGCACGCUUAGGCGUGUGACUGCGUACCUUUUGUAUAAUGGGUCAGCGACUUAUAUUCUGUAGCAAGGUUAACCGAAUAGGGGAGCCGAAGGGAAACCGAGUCUUAACUGGGCGUUAAGUUGCAGGGUAUAGACCCGAAACCCGGUGAUCUAGCCAUGGGCAGGUUGAAGGUUGGGUAACACUAACUGGAGGACCGAACCGACUAAUGUUGAAAAAUUAGCGGAUGACUUGUGGCUGGGGGUGAAAGGCCAAUCAAACCGGGAGAUAGCUGGUUCUCCCCGAAAGCUAUUUAGGUAGCGCCUCGUGAAUUCAUCUCCGGGGGUAGAGCACUGUUUCGGCAAGGGGGUCAUCCCGACUUACCAACCCGAUGCAAACUGCGAAUACCGGAGAAUGUUAUCACGGGAGACACACGGCGGGUGCUAACGUCCGUCGUGAAGAGGGAAACAACCCAGACCGCCAGCUAAGGUCCCAAAGUCAUGGUUAAGUGGGAAACGAUGUGGGAAGGCCCAGACAGCCAGGAUGUUGGCUUAGAAGCAGCCAUCAUUUAAAGAAAGCGUAAUAGCUCACUGGUCGAGUCGGCCUGCGCGGAAGAUGUAACGGGGCUAAACCAUGCACCGAAGCUGCGGCAGCGACACUAUGUGUUGUUGGGUAGGGGAGCGU